GACGUAGGGCGCGAGCGUUGUCCGGAUUUAUUGGGCGUAAAGAGCUCGUAGGCGGCUUGUCGCGUCGACUGUGAAAUCCCGCGGCUCAACUGCGGGUCUGCAGUCGAUACGGGCAGGCUAGAGUUCGGUAGGGGAGACUGGAAUUCCUGGUGUAGCGGUGAAAUGCGCAGAUAUCAGGAGGAACACCCGGUGGCGAAGGCGGGUCUCUGGGCCUGUACUGACGCUGGAGGAGCGAAAGCUAGGGGAGCAAACGGG
rnacentral:rRNA from 1 species